rnacentral:rRNA from 1 species
CCUACGGGAGGCAGCAGUGAGGAAUAUUGGUCAAUGGGCGCGAGCCUUAACCAGCCAAGUCGCGUGAGGGAAGACGGUCCUAUGGAUUGUAAACCUCUUUUUUCGGAGCGCAAAAGACGCCACGCGUGGCGUUCCGAGAGUACCCGAAGAAAAAGCAUCGGCUAACUCCGUGCCAGCAGCCGCGGUAAUACGGAGGAUGCGAGCGGUGUCCGGGUGUAUUGGGUUUAAGGGGUGCGGAGGGGUAAGAUCAAGUCAGCGGUAAAAUUGAGAGGCUUAACCUCUUGGAGCCGUUGAAACUGGUUUUCGUGAGUGAGCGAGAGGUAUGCGGAAUGCGUGGUGUAGCGGUGAAAGGCAUAGAUAUCACGCAGAACUGCGAUUGCGAAGGCAGCAUACCGGCGCUCAACUGACGCUCAUGCACGAAAGUGUGGGUAUCGAACAGGAUUAGAUACCCUUGUAGUC